rnacentral:lncRNA from 1 species
ACCCCUGUUCCAGCAUGAAAGCUUCACAUUAAAGUUCCAAGAACUCAUAAAUAAACCUAAAACAUCAUUAUAAAAAAAUGCAAUGAAGCUUAUCGAGUACAUAGUUCUUGAGAGAUUAUUUGUUAUAAAAAAAUGUAAGACAAAAAUGCAUUAAAAAAAAAAAACAAAUGAUACAAAUCUGAGUUUAGUUCGGUUCAAAAUCCC